rnacentral:rRNA from 1 species
AUUGAACGCUGGCGGCAUGCCUUACACAUGCAAGUCGAACGGCAGCACGGGGGCAACCCUGGUGGCGAGUGGCGAACGGGUGAGUAAUAUAUCGGAACGUACCCUGGAGUGGGGGAUAACGUAGCGAAAGUUACGCUAAUACCGCAUACGAUCUAAGGAUGAAAGUGGGGGAUCGCAAGACCUCAUGCUCCUGGAGCGGCCGAUAUCUGAUUAGCUAGUUGGUGGGGUAAAGGCCUACCAAGGCAUCGAUCAGUAGCUGGUCUGAGAGGACGACCAGCCACACUGGGACUGAGACACGGCCCAGACUCCUACGGGAGGCAGCAGUGGGGAAUUUUGGACAAUGGGGGGCAACCCUGAUCCAGCAAUGCCGCGUGAGUGAAGAAGGCCUGGUUGUAAGCUCUUUGUCAGGAGAACGGUGAGGC